GAAUCAAAACUUUCAACAACGGAUCUCUUGGCUCUGGCAUCGAUGAAGAACGCAGCGAAACGCGAUAAGUAAUGUGAAUUGCAGAAUCCAGUGAAUCAUCGAAUCUUUGAACGCACAUUGCGCCCGCCAGCAUUCUGGCGGGCAUGCCUGUUCGAGC
rnacentral:rRNA from 1 species